rnacentral:ncRNA from 1 species
AAAUGAAGAGGUGCACUGCCUACUGCGGUAUUCUGAAGUUGCUAAUAACUGAUGAUGAAUACACAAGAGAGGAAGUGCCGAAGAGGUUUUUAUAUUAGCAGAUUAACCUCUGGUUUCAGUAUUGAAAGGUAUUGGAACUGUCACAUAAAUUAUGUGGAGCGCUUCAGA